CAUAGCGACUAUCGUGCAUAUCAAUAAGCGGAGGAAAAGAAACUAACAAGGAUUCCCUUAGUAACGGCGAGUGAAGCGGGAAGAGUUCAAAUUUGAAAUCUCCAAGGUUCUACCUUGACGAAUUGUAGUUUAUAGAAGUGUUUUCUGUUAGUGGAGUGGCAAAAGUUCUUUGGAAUAGGACAUCAUAGAGGGUGAGAAUCCCGUAUUUGGUCAUUCCUCCUAGCGUUGUGAUACUCUUUCAACGAGUCGGAUUGUUUGGGAAUGCAGUCCAAAAUGGGUGGUAAAUUUCAUCUAAAGCUAAAUAUUGGCGAGAGACCGAUAGCGAACAAGUACCGUGAGGGAAAGAUGAAAAGAACUUUGAAAAGAGAGUUAAACAGUACGUGAAAUUGUCAAAAGGGAAGCGUUUGACACCAGUGUUGUAUUGACCUUAAAUAGGCUUACUUCACGGCUGCUCUUUCUUGUAAACUUUCUUAAUGCACUUUUCGGUUAACAAGUCAACAUCAGUUUCUUUUGUUGUAAAAGGGUCAUUGGAAGGUGGCUUUCUUUUCGGAGAAAGUGUUUAUAGCCUUUGAUCUCUGCAACCGGAGAGACUGAGGUCUGCAGCGUAGACUCUUCGGGGUUAAAUACAUUUGUGCUAAGGCUAUAGCUUUUUAUAGACAACUUGUUGACUAUAUUUAGUCUUGUGGCUUACUCGCUUAUGCUAUUUUACCUACGCUUAGGAUGUUGAUAGUCACAGCGUGUAC
rnacentral:rRNA from 1 species